rnacentral:RNase_P_RNA from 2 species
UUGCUCAUGUAAUCGCUGCAUCCUUUAGGAUGUAGAGGAAAGUCCAUGCUCACACGAGCUGCGAUGCUCGUAGUGUUCGUGCUUGACGAAGUCAUAAGUCAAGGUAGCUUUAAUGCUAACGGCAGAUAUGAUAUCCUAAGUUAUCUUAAAGAUAAUAUGGAUUCAUUCUUGAAAGUGCCACAGUGACGUAGCUAGAUCGGAAACUUUCUAGGUGGAACGCGGUAAACCCCACGAGUGAGCAACCCAAAUUAAUGGUAGGGGCAUCCUUUUAGUAGGGAAUUAGAACCGAAUAAGGGACAGAUUAAUGAUCUGUAGAUAGAUGAUUACGACCGGCGUACAAGGUUGACCACCGUUUGCAGUACAAUGGUACAGAACAUGGCUUAUCGAG